rnacentral:rRNA from 1 species
GAUGAAUGCUGGCGGCGUGCUUAACACAUGCAAGUCGAGCGAGAGAGUCUCUUCGGAGACAAUCUAGCGGCGGACGGGUGAGUAACACGUGGGCAACCUGCCUUGUAGAAGGGGAUAGCCCUCCGAAAGGAGGAUUAAUACCCUAUAUUAUCACACUGAGGCACCUCAGAGUGAUGAAAGGAGUAAUCCGCUACAAGAUGGGCCCGCGGCGCAUUAGCUAGUUGGUGAGGUAACGGCUCACCAAGGCGACGAUGCGUAGCCGACCUGAGAGGGUGAUCGGCCACAUUGGGACUGAGACACGGCCCAGACUCCUACGGGAGGCAGCAGUGGGGAAUAUUGCACAAUGGGGGAAACCCUGAUGCAGCAACGCCGCGUGAGUGGUGAAGGUUUUCGGAUCGUAAAGCUCUGUCUUCAGGGACGAUAAUGACGGUACCUGAGGAGGAAGCCACGGCUAACUACGUGCCAGCAGCCGCCGUAA